AGAAGGGUCUUCAUUUGUGAAAUGAUGAAAAUAAAUUUAAUGGGGAAGCAGGAGGUGCUACUGGUUACCUUUCAACUAUUCUCUUAUUGGAUGUACUAAAUAUACUUCUCAAACUUACUUUCAGAUGGAGAGUACUGGAAUUUCUGCAGAGAAAGAAGUGCAAAAAAAUUGCACAUCUGAGAAGAGCAGAUACGGAAAGGGUUCCGUGGGACUGGAGAGUGACAAGAAAUUCAGAAGCUGCAAGGCAUUAAUCAGAAAGAACCAGAAAGGCAUUCCAGGAGCACACACCUUCCAUAUCUUCAUGUGCUGGCCUGGAAGCUCAGCUUCACCCCUGACCACAUGAACCCUCGCCCAGGGGAAUUUCAGGUAGAGUUCUACAACUUGAAACUUUGCAAAGCCAAAGCCCUCCUGCAUUUCAUGGGGUGGGAAAGCAUUCAGCACCAAUACCUACACAAGUGACAAUCUGCAGGACUGGAUUCAGCUGCAGGAACUUCUGCUUGUGCAUAUCUUGGAUGCCUGAGUUGCACAAGGACGUUGGAAAUUAGACCCCCCUCACAUCUUUGUUAGUGAGUAUGUUUCUGCUGUAUUGAAAUUGCCUUGGCAUUGGUUGCACAGGAGAGCCAGACUGAUGGAUUCUUCAAGAUUCUUUGAGGGUGUUAUGUUGUUCUGGCUUUGUUAUGUGCAGAUGUCUCCUAACAUCUAAUUCUAAUUCUUCUCCCUUCAUCUCCUUCUCCACUUGCUGUUACCUUUUAAAGUCCUUCGAGGUAAUUUAAAACAUACUAUUUUUAAAUUUAGCACAGUACCAAGGGACCAUUUCUAGCACAAAAUGGCCAAAGUAAUUGCCCAGAGAAGCUGGUGUCACUUUCAGAGGUUAGAGGGCUAUAUUCCUGCUGCCAAAAGAGAUACAGGUUCCACAGACAUCAGAGUAUUUGCGUGGUGCAUGAACAGCGUGAAAGGAAAAAGCCUGGAUAGUAGGGGUUUGGUGAGAAUGCAGGUAGUCAUCAGGGAUCACUGAAAGAGUUCAAUUUUUAGAUUUUUACCUUGUUUCAUAUAGUACUUUGUGUUGGACUCUGCCUUAUUCUUCUGCCUAUUUCUCUUGUGGGGUACCAAGUAGCAAGGUAACAUCAGCAAAUAGGUGAAAUUUUGUCCAAUACCACCUAUUAUGAGGGACAGGACAUUUCUCUGCUUGCACCUCUAUUAAACCUUCCUAUAUUACAUACCCUUCCUAAUGACCUGUAGGAUGUUUAGCCCAGCUAAUAAGAUGAAACUCAGAUUAUACAAAAAUAGCACAUACUUGCAAAGUCACCACUUUAUGCUUCCGUUGGUGGCAACAAGGGUAGACAGCAUCCCCCCUAGGUCUUAGCAGCUGCCUGUAAAAGAAGGGACACCCCUGACAAUUUAUCUGAGCAUCUGAAGUGCAGCUUUUCCACUUUAGAAAAGGGGUCUCCCUUAGAAUACCUUGUCAAGACAGGACUGUCUGUGCUUUUGCAAGGCAAAUGUUAGAUCUGGGUGUUAGACUGGAGUUACAUUUAAUCCAUGCUCCUUUAUGUGAGACAGGAAAUUCCAAAUCUCUGAUCAAAGCAACACACAUACUGUGUAACCCUUUUCAUUUUCGUUUUUCAAACAGACGGAAUAGGACAAAAUAAGCAGCACAUGUUUUAAGAAGACUGGAUAUUACUAAAUGUAUUAAUGAAUUUUAUUACUAUUAAUAAAAACUCUGUGAGAGUAUAACUGUGCUUC
rnacentral:lncRNA from 1 species